rnacentral:rRNA from 1 species
UGAAUACGAGGCACUAAGGUGCUGAAGUAGUGUAUGUCAUACUUCCAAGAAAAGCUUGCACUAUCGUAAGAUAAAAAUGCCUGUACCAUAACCGACACAGGUGGGUAGGUAGAGUAUACUAAGGGGCGCGAGAUAACUCUCUCUAAGGAACUCGGCAAAAUAACUCCGUAACUUCGGGAGAAGGAGUGCCUUAUUCUAUAAGGUUGCAAUAACAAGAUCCAAGCAACUGUUUAUCAAAAACACAGGUCUCCGCUAAGUCGUAAGACGAUGUAUGGGGGCUGACGCCUGCCCAGUGCCAGAAGGUUAAAGAAGUCGGUUAGCAAUUGCGAAGCUGGUAACUGAAGCCCUGGUGAACGGCGGCCGUAACGAUAACGGUCCUAAGGUAGCGAAAUUCCUUGUCGGGUAAGUUCCGACCCGCACGAAAGGCGUAAUGAUUUGGAUACUGUCUCGGAGAGGGACUCGGUGAAAUAGACUUGUCUGUGAAGAUGCGGACUACCUGCACCAGGACAGAAAGACCCUAUGAAGCUUUACUGUAACUUGAAAUUGAAAUUGGACUUUAUUCGCGCAGUAUAGGUGGGAGGCGUUGAUUAUAAUCUUGUGGGAUUAUUGGAGCCAUUAGUGAGAUACCACUCUUGUAAUGUUAGAUUUCUAACUUUGAAUCAUGAUCUGGUCAAAGAACAGUUUCAGGUGCAGUUUGACUGGGGCGGUCGCCUCCUAAAUGGUAACGGAGGCGUACAAAGGUUUCCUCUGAACGGGUAGAAAUCGUAUCUAGAGUGUAAAGGCAUAAGGAAGCUUGACUGUGAGACCUACAAGUCGAGCAGGGACGAAAGUCGGUCUUAGUGAUCUGACGGUACUGAGUGGAAAGGCCGUCACUCAACGGAUAAAAGUUACUCUAGGAUAACAGGCUGAUCUCCCCCAAGAGUUCACAUCGACGGGGAGGUUUGGCACCUCGAUGUCGGCUCAUCGCAUCCUGGGGCGGUAGUACGUCCCAAGGGUUGGGCUGUUCGCCCAUGAAAGCGGUACGCGAGCUGGGUUCAGAACGUCGUGAGACAGUUCGGUCCAUAUCCGGUGUAGGCGUUAGAAUAUUGAGAGGAGCCUUCUUUAGUACGAGAGGACCGAGAAGGACAUACCUCUGGUGUACCAGUUAUCGUGCCAACGGUAAACGCUGGGUAGCUAUGUAUGGAGUGGAUAACCGCUGAAAGCAUCUAAGUGGGAAGCCCACCUCAAGAUAAGUAUUCCC